AUUGAACGCUGGCGGCAGGCCUAACACAUGCAAGUCGUGCGAGCGGCGGACGGGUGAGUAAUGUAUGGGGACUGCCCGAUAGAGGGGGCUAAAAACUGGAAACGGUAGCUAAUACCGCAUACUAUCGGAUAACGCAUAUGGGAGUAGCUAGUAGGUGAGGUAAUCGCUCACCUAGGCGACGAGCCCUAGCUGGUCUGAGAGGAUGAUCAGCCACACUGGGACUGAGACACGGCCCAGACUCCUACGGCGGCAGCAGUGGGGAAUAUUGCACAAUGGGCGCAAGCCUGAUGCAGCCAUGCCGCGUGUAUGAAGAAGGCCCUAGGGUUGUAAAGUACUUUCAGUCGGGAGGCGUUACCGACAGAAGAAGCACCGGCUAACUCCGUGCCAGCAGCCGCGGUAAUUC
rnacentral:rRNA from 1 species